ACGGGUGAGUAACGCGUGGGAACAUACCCUUCGGUUCGGAAUAACUCAGGGAAACUUGAGCUAAUACCGGAUACGUCCGAGAGGAGAAAGAUUUAUUGCCGAAGGAUUGGCCCGCGUCCGAUUAGCUAGUUGGUGAGGUAACUGCUCACCAAGGCAUUGAUCGGUAGCUGGUCUGAGAGGAUGAUCAGCCACACUGGGACUGAGACACGGCCCAGACUCCUACGGGAGGCAGCAGUGGGGAAUAUUGGACAAUGGGCGCAAGCCUGAUCCAGCCAUGCCGCGUGAGUGAUGAAGGCCUUAGGGUUGUAAAGCUCUUUCGCUGGGGACGAUAAUGACGGUACCCAGAUAAGAAGCCCCGGCUAACUUCGUGCCAGCAGCCGCGGUAAUACGAAGGGGGCUAGCGUUGUUCGGAUUUACUGGGCGUAAAGCGCACGUAGGCGGAUUUUUAAGUCAGGGGUGAAAUCCCGAGGCUCAACCUCGGAAUUGCCUUUGAUACUGGAAGUCUUGAGUUCGGAAGAGGUGAGUGGAAUUGUGAGUGUAGAGGUGAAAUUCGUAGA
rnacentral:rRNA from 1 species